rnacentral:rRNA from 1 species
AACGAACGCUGGCGGCAUGCCUAACACAUGCAAGUCGAACGAGACCUUCGGGUCUAGUGGCGCACGGGUGCGUAACGCGUGGGAACCUGCCCUUAGGUUCGGAAUAACUCCCCGAAAGGGGUGCUAAUACCGGAUAAUGUUUUCGGACCAAAGAUUUAUCGCCUUUGGAUGGGCCCGCGUUGGAUUAGCUAGUUGGUAGGGUAAAAGCCUACCAAGGCGACGAUCCAUAGCUGGUCUGAGAGGAUGAUCAGCCACACUGGGACUGAGACACGGCCCAGACUCCUACGGGAGGCAGCAGUGAGGAAUAUUAGACAAUGGGCGAAAGCCUGAUCCAGCAAUGCCGCGUGGGUGAUGGAGGCCUUAGGGUUGUAAAGCUCUUUUACCCGGGAUGAUAAUGACAGUACCGGGGGAAUAAGCUCCGGCUAACUCCGUG